rnacentral:rRNA from 1 species
AGAGUUUGAUUAUGGCUCAGGAUGAACGCUAGCUACAGGCUUAACACAUGCAAGUCGAGGGGCAUCAUUGGGAUAGCUUGCUAUUCAGAUGGCGACCGGCGCACGGGUGAGUAACGCGUAUCCAACCUUCCCCUUAGUAGGGCAUAGCCCGGCGAAAGUCGGAUUAAUACCCUAUGUUGUAUAUUGAGGACAUCUGAUUUAUACCAAAGAUUCAUCGCUAAGGGAUGGGGAUGCGUCCGAUUAGGUAGUCGGCGGGGUAACGGCCCACCGAGCCAUCGAUCGGUAGGGGUUCUGAGAGGAAGGUCCCCCACACUGGUACUGAGACACGGACCAGACUCCUACGGGAGGCAGCAGUGGGGAAUAUUGGUCAAUGGGCGAGAGCCUGAACCAGCCAAGUAGCGUGCCAGGAAGACGGCCCUAUGGGUUGUAAACUGCUUUUAUCAGGGGAUAAAGUGAGGGACGUGUCCCUUAUUGCAGGUACCUGAUGAAUAAGGACCGGCUAAUUCCGUGCCAGCCGCAGC